rnacentral:rRNA from 1 species
CGAAAGCCUGACGGAGCAACGCCGCGUGAGGGAAGAAGGUCUUUGGAUUGUAAACCUCUUUUCUCAAGGAAGAAGUCAGUGACGGUACUUGAGGAAUCAGCAUCGGCUAACUCCGUGCCAGCAGCCGCGGUAAUACGGAGGAGGCAAGCGUUAUCCGGAAUUAUUGGGCGUAAAGCGUCCGCAGGUGGCGAUUCAAGUCUGCUGUCAAAGCACGGGGCUUAACUCCGUAAAGGCAGUGGAAACUGAAUAGCUAGAGUGCCGUAGGGGUAGAGGGAAUUCCCGGUGUAGCGGUGAAAUGCGUAGAGAUCGGGAAGAACAUCGGUGGCGAAAGCGCUCUGCUGGGCCGCAACUGACACUCAGGGACGAAAGCUAGGGGAGCG